rnacentral:rRNA from 1 species
UACGGAGGGGGCGAGCGUUAUUCGGAAUUAUUGGGCGUAAGGGCGCGUAGGCGGCCUUGUAAGCCAAAGGUGAAAUCCCUCGGCUCAACUGAGGAACUGCCUUUGAAACUGCAAGGCUUGAGGCCGGGAGGGGGUAGCGGAAUUCCCAAUGUAGCGGUGAAAUGCGUAGAUAUUGGGAGGAACACCAGUGGCGAAGGCGGCAUCCUGGACCGGCAUUGACGCUGAGGAGCGAAAGCCAGGGGAGCAAACGGG